UUGUGGAGGAGGACGCCGAAGGUGGGGCUGAUGACUGGGGUGAAGUCGUAACAAGGUAGCCGUACCGGAAGGUGCGGCUGGAUCACCUCCUACAGGGAGACAAAACUGAUUUUGAUGUCUGAGUUUUUUUAUUCUUAGGCCAAGAUCCUGUCACCUUAGGUCGAUCGGUACCUCAAGUUGAGAUCAAAAAUAAUUUGAUUUUCAACUUCAGUUCCUAAACUUGUCUAGGUCACACCCAACAAGGGUAUUCCUGGGCUAUUAGCUAAGGUGGUUAGAGCGCACCCCUGAUAAGGGUGAGGUCCCUGGUUCAAGUCCAGGAUGGCCCAUUCGGUGUUGGGGGUAUAGCUCAGUUGGUAGAGCGCCUGCUUUGCAAGCAGGAUGUCAGCGGUUCGAGUCCGCUUACCUCCACUGAUCCACCUCCUGAUAACGAAACCAGGAAGAUUUUUGUUUGUUGUGAUUUAGAUUGUUAGCUGGAUGAACCUAGCUUCCUAUCAUUCCUCUUUUUGAUUUGAUUUGAUUUUAUUCAAAAUAAGGUUGAUAGCAUGCUGGGCUCUCUAUAGCUUUUUAGCUAUAGACAUGUUCAGUAGAACCUUGACAACUGCAUAGGAAAGAUUAGAUAGAACAAAGCAUUUCAUGGAUGCAUUAUUCUCUAAGUCUAUUUAGAGAUUUAAUCUCUAAAUGAUUAGUGAGUAAUGGAUAAUUCUUGACUAAGAGCCGAUACUCUAAUAAAUACAAUUAGAGAAUAUUGGUCAAGCUACAA
rnacentral:misc_RNA from 1 species